AUUGAACGCUGGCGGCAGGCCUAACACAUGCAAGUCGAGCGAGCGGCGGACGGGUGAGUAAUGUAUGGGGACUGCCCGAUCGAGGGGGAUAACUACUUGAAACGGUAGCUCAUACCGCAUACUAUCGGAUAACCCAUAUGGGAUUAGCUAGUAGGUUAGGUAAUGGCUCACCUAGGCGACGCUCCCUAGCUGGUCUGAGAGGAUGAUCAGCCACACUGGGACUGAGACACGGCCCAGACUCCUACGGAGGCAGCAGUGGGGAAUAUUGCACAAUGGGCGCAAGCCUGAUGCAGCCAUGCCGCGUGUAUGAAGAAGGCCCUAGGGUUGUAAAGUACUUUCAGUCGGGAGGCGUUACCGACAGAAGAAGCACCGGCUAACUCCGUGCCAGCAGCCGCGGUAAUUC
rnacentral:rRNA from 1 species